rnacentral:rRNA from 1 species
GACGAACGCUGGCGGCGUGCCUAAUACAUGCAAGUAGAACGCUGAAGGAGGAGCUUGCUCUUCUGGAUGAGUUGCGAACGGGUGAGUAACGCGUAGGUAACCUGCCUGGUAGCGGGGGAUAACUAUUGGAAACGAUAGCUAAUUCCGCAUAAUAGUAGAUGUUGCAUGACAUUUACUUGAAAGGUGCAAUUGCAUCACUACCAGAUGGACCUGCGUUGUAUUAGCUAGUUGGUGGGGUAACGGCUCACCAAGGCGACGAUACAUAGCCGACCUGAGAGGGUGAUCGGCCACACUGGGACUGAGACACGGCCCAGACUCCUACGGGAGGCAGCAGUAGGGAAUCUUCGGCAAUGGACGGAAGUCUGACCGAGCAACGCCGCGUGAGUGAAGAAGGUUUUCGGAUUGUAAAGCUCUGUUGUAAGAGAAGAACGAGUGUGAGAGUGGAAAGUUC